CCUUGUAAAAGUUGUGAUGAUGCAGCCAAAGAAGAGCUUUGAAAAGCUACAUCUCAGACACCAAGGUCAAGAAAAGCAAUUGGCUCCUCAUAUGCUUUAAUGGGCGGUUCUUGAUAUUGGAGGAGGUGAUCCUGGAAAACCAGUAAGAAGCAUCAGCACAGUUGAAGAAAAACAGUGAGAAGCACCAUGGAGAAGAAAGAAGCAAAGAGCACAGAGCAACAGGCAGCAGAUGUUAUGAACACAAUCCAACUUCCAGAACCACCCACUGCUUCACUGCAGGAAUUGGGGUGGACUGAGUAUAUCCUGCAGCAAGAAUAAGGGAAAUUGAGACUAAGAAUUAAGGAGGAUAGGUGUUUGACUUAAGGUGAGCCUGAGGAAUGAGAGGAAAAGAUGUUUACUUGAGUGUUUAAUUGUUUAUGUUAUCCUUUUUUUUUUUGAUAACUGCAUCAAUGAUUGAAAAUUUCUUUUAAUUGGUAAUUCAUUAAAUUAAGUAAAAGUUGCCCAGUUUUUGCCUUUGAAGUUGGCAAGUGCAAUAGCCAAACCUUCAUUUCAUGAACAUCCUUUAGCAUAUUCUGCUUUGAUAAAAUAGAGAUGCAAUAAAAUCUUUGGAAACUACA